GGAUUUCUCCGUCAGACUUGUAAAAUUUAUCAUUAGAGUUGUUUUACAAUAUUUGAAGUAUAAACAUUUAUCUUGAAAAGACCAGGUUCUCUUGUUGCCUUAAGAAUUAACUUUUUUAAUGUUAAUUCGCGGGCAAACAAGUUUUUAAUGUUGUGUUUAUACUUGUGCUUAUUCACUUGUGUUGAACACAAUGUUAAUUGUUCUCUUUGUGCCAUGUUCUGUUUUCUUCUAUUGUUAUUUAAAUAAGUAUAUGCAGU